rnacentral:rRNA from 1 species
AUUGAACGCUGGCGGCAUGCCUAACACAUGCAAGUCGAGCGACCGGCGGACGGGUGAGUAAUGUCUGGGAAACUGCUUGCUGGAGGGGGCUAACUACAGGAAACGGUAGUUAAUACUGCAUACCGUCAGAUGUGUCCAUAGGGGAUUAGCUAGUAGGUGGGGUAACGGCUCACCUAGGCGACGAUCCCUAGCUGGUCUGAGAGGAUGACCAGCAACACUGGAACUGAGACACGGCCCAGACUCCUACGGGAGGCAGCAGUGGGGAAUAUUGCACAAUGGGCGCAAGCCUGAUGCAGCCAUGCCGCGUGUGUGAAGAAGGCCUUCGGGUUGUAAAGCACUUUCGGCAGGGAGGCGUUACCCGCAGAAGAAGCACCGGCUAACUCCGUGCCAGCAGCCGCGGUAAUAC